ensembl:rRNA 5S_rRNA 5S ribosomal RNA
GCUUACGGCCAUACCAGCUGAUGAACGCCCGAUCUCAUCUGAUCUCGGACGCUAAGAACGCCAAAUCUCGUCUGAUCUGGGAAGGUUAGAAGGCUUGGGCCUGGUUAGUAUUUGAAUGGGAGACUGCCUGAGAAUACCAGGUGUUGUAAGCU